GCUGAAUGUGGGGAUAAUUUAUCUCCGUGUUGUAGCUAACGCGUUAAGCACUCCGCCUGGGGACUACGGUCGCAAGACUAGAACUCAAAGGAAUUGACGGGGACCCGCACAAGCGGUGGAGCAUGUGGUUUAAUUCGAUGCAACGCGAAAAACCUUACCACUCCUUGACAUGGAGAUUAGAUCCUUCUUAACAGAAGGGCGCAGUUCGGCUGGAUCUCGCACAGGUGCUGCAUGGCUGUCGUCAGCUCGUGUCGUGAGAUGUUGGGUUAAGUCCCGCAACGAGCGUAACCCUCAUCCUUAGUUGCCAGCGGGUAAGCCGGGCACUUUAAGGAAACUGCCGGUGGUAAACCGGAGGAAGGUGGGGAUGAUGUCAAGUCAGCACGGCCCUUAUGGGGUGGGCUACACACGUGCUACAAUGGUGACUACAAUAGGUUGCAAUGUCGCAAGGCUGAGCUAAUCCGUAAAAGUCAUCUCAGUUCGGAUUGUCCUCUGCAACUCGAGGGCAUGAAGUCGGAAUCGCUAGUAAUCGUGGAUCAGCAUGCCACGGUGAAUACGUUCUCGGGUCUUGUACACACUGCCCGUCACGCCAUGGGAAUUGGCUUAACUCGAAGCUGGUGCGCUAACCGAAAGGAAGCAGCCAU
rnacentral:rRNA from 1 species